UUUUUUUGAUUAUUAUUAAAAUCCUAUAUAUUUUAAAUACUAGGACUAUUUAUUCAUUUUUACUCCAAUAAUUUUGGCAACCAUGAAGGGACUAGAAGAAACAGAAUUCUUCUCCUGCCAUGGUUUUCCUUCUCCCCUCUCCUCUCUUCCUUCUUCACUUUCCCCUCUUCCUUCUUCCUUCUCCCUUCAGGAAACCCUUCAAAGCUUUCUCAGGCUCAUUGCCUACACCUGCCCACCAGGAGAGACUGGGUAGCCAGGUCUCUCCCUCACAGAGACUGUUCCUGCUGACUCCUUCCACUGUUACUACUGCUUGCCCGUUGCUGCUACUGGAUGAAGAAAUGAGAUACCUUUUACAACUCUGGAUAAGGAACAUAUUCUUAAAAGAUGACCAUAAAAAGGGGAGGUCUUCUACUAGAUAAAGGAAGAAGAAUGUCAACUGCUGUAACCAAGGGAAGCAAGGAAAUCUCCUUGCUAUAGGCUGCCUGGAAACAACCCUUGGACCAAUCAGCUGCCUUCUGGGUAUCAGCUCUUCCAGCCCCUGUCACUGUUUCCUUGCAAACCAAAACCAGCAUCAUCAUGAAUUACGUAUGUAGUGACCUCCACCUGUGGCCUGUAUCCCCAGAGAAGUGAGGACACUGUGUUCACUCAGCAUCUAUUAAUUCAGCUUGUACUGUAUUAUCUUGUGAUUGUGUUUGCUUUGUGGUUAUUCUGAAGAUAUUCCAUGUGUUAUGUAUUUGGUUUCUCUAACGAGGCUAUAACCUCUACACAAAUAGGAACUGUUCUGUUUCUUAUAGAUUCCAUCCUACACUGGCUGGUACAGUUUUCAGCAUUGCAAAAGAAUAAGUAUCCAAACAAUAUAUCUUAAUGAACCUGAGAAAUGAAAUGAAAUGUUUUGAUAAAUGCUUUCUGAUUAUGAGACUGCAGGUCUAUUGUAGUCUUCUUUGUUCUGAGAUUUGCUAAGAACAUCUCAGUAUCAGUAAUCCACACUUUAAUUUUUGACAUCAAUAUUUUCUUCACAUUUUUAUAUUAUGCACUCCAUCAUGAACUGGAUAUUUGAUAUCCCAAAACUAGAAGCCAUACCCACUUUAGGAUGGAAAGGUGAUUUGUAUAGAAAAUAGCCUAAAAAUUUUGUCCUGAAAUCUCACAGGAACUGUAAGAGAUUUCUUCAGUUCUCUGAAUGCUGAGCAAUUUAAUUUCUCUCAAGAUCUAAGACUCUUGCUUCUACCCCUUCCCUCAAAAAUAUGGUAUUCUAAUCUGGCAGUUCUAAUAAUAGUAAUAGCUACACAUGCAUUGUUCACAAGCAUUAAUCCACAAAUAUUAUAAUUACAAUUUGGAACCCAGUCAACCAAAUAUUGUAUGUAACUCCCCCUCACCUCUAUGUGAUUGAGAGAAAUGGGCACAGGCCAAAGAAAUGAAAUGCAAAGAUGAAAAAUUCAAGAGAGCACAUAGAAUGCAGACCCAGACCCAUGAGGGAGGAGAGAGGGUUCUAUGGAAGGUUGAGAAGGAGGACCAGUUGGUCAAAGCUGAUCUUCUAGACACACUUCUGCCAGGAGUGGUUUGAUCUCCACAUCACUUCACUUCUCUCUGACCAACUUCUCUGAAGGGGAAGGCUGACGAAGUUCUUGGUUGUUAUCUUUCUCUACCUAGUUUGAGCUGAAGAAAAGAGAGUCUUGCCCAGUAAAGUAUGCAGCUAGAUUAUUAUUGUUUCCCUCAUGGGAAGUCAAUUUUAUUCCUUUUUGAAGAGACUUAAACCAAAGCCUUCAAUAAGUGAUAGAAAUUAGAAUUCGGGAUUAGAAUCCCAUUUCCUUCUUAUUUCCUUCCCCCUCCCCCAAGAAAAUAAAUAGGUCUUUUUAACUAUAGAAACUGUUCUC
ensembl:lncRNA